AAGUUUGGAUGGCGACCGGCGCACGGGUGAGUAACACGUAUCCAACCUGCCGAUGACUCGGGGAUAGCCUUUCGAAAGAAAGAUUAAUACCCGAUGGCAUAGUUCUUCCGCAUGGUAGAACUAUUAAAGAAUUUCGGUCAUCGAUGGGGAUGCGUUCCAUUAGGUUGUUGGCGGGGUAACGGCCCACCAAGCCUUCGAUGGAUAGGGGUUCUGAGAGGAAGGUCCCCCACAUUGGAACUGAGACACGGUCCAAACUCCUACGGGAGGCAGCAUG
rnacentral:rRNA from 1 species